rnacentral:misc_RNA from 1 species
GACGAACCGUGCGAACGUUAUUCGGAAUCACUGGGCUUAAAGCGCGUGUAGGCGGGCCGCCGCGUCGGCUGCUGAAAUCCCCCGGCUCAACCGGGGAAGGGGCACCGAUACGGGCGGCCUGGAGGGGGGUAGGGGGGUCUGGAACUUCCGGUGGAGCGGUGAAAUGCGUUGAGAUCGGAAGGAACGCCCGUGGCGAAAGCGAGGCCCUGGACCCUUUCAGACGCUGAGACGCGAAAGCCAGGGGAGCGAACGGG